AGGGUUUGAUCCUGGCUCAGAACGAACGUUAGCGGUGUGGAUAAGGCAUGCAAGUCGUGCGCGAACGUCACCUUCGGGUGGCUAGUAAAGCGGCGAAAGGGUGAGUAACACGUAACCAAUCUACCCCUGAGACCGGAAUAACCGUUGGAAACGGCGGAUAAUGCCGGAUGACCCUGCCGGGAGGCAUCUCCUGGCUGGUAAACGGCGGCUUCGGCUGCUGUUCGGGGAGGAGGUUGCGGACUAUUAGCUUGUUGGUGGGGUAAUGGCCUACCAAGGCGAUGAUGGUUAGCGGGUCUGAGAGGAUGGCCCGUCACACUGGGACUGAGACACUGCCCAGACUCCUACGGGAGGCUGCAGUCGAGAAUCUUCCGCAAUGGGCGAAAGCCUGACGGAGCGACACCGCGUGCAGGAUGAAGGCCUUCGGGUUGUAAACUGCUGUCACGCUCUAGGAAUGGCGUGUCGUUAAUAUCGGCACGCUUGACCAAGGUGAAAGGAAGCACCGGCUAACUCCGUGCCAGCAGCCGCGGUAAGACGGAGGGUGCAAACGUUGUUCGGAAUCACUGGGCAUAAAGAGCACGUAGGCGGUCCGUUAAGUCAGAUGUGAAAUCCCUCGGCUCAACCGAGGAACUGCAUUUGAGACUGGCGGGCUAGAGUUUGGUAGGGGUAAGCGGAACUCCAGGUGGAGCGGUGAAAUGCGUAGAUAUCUGGAGGAACACCGGUGGCGAAAGCGGCUUACUGGACCAAUUACUGACGCUGAGGUGCGAAAGCUAGGGUAGCAAACGGGAUUAGAUACCCCGGUAGUCCUAGCCGUAAACGAUGGGCACUAGGCAGUGGAAUCGCCUAUGGAUUUCAUUGCCGGAGCUAAUGUGUUAAGUGCCCCGCCUGGGGAGUACGCUCGCAAGGGUAAAACUCAAAGGAAUUGACGGGGGCUCACACAAGCGGCGGAGCAUGUGGUUCAAUUCGAAACAACGCGAAGAACCUUACCUGGCCUUGACAUGCAUGGAUUAGCCUCGUGAAAGCGAGGUGACAGCUCUUCGGAGUCGGAACAUGCGCAGGUGUUGCAUGGCUGUCGUCAGCUCGUGUCGUGAGAUGUUGGGUUAAGUCCCGUAACGAGCGAAGCCCUUAUUCUUAGUUGCCAGCUGGUUAUGCCGGGGACUCUAGGAAGACUGCCGUUGUCAAGACGGAGGAAGGUGGGGACGACGUCAAGUCAUCAUGGCCCUUAUGGCCAGCCUACACACGUGCUACAAUGGUCUGGACAAAGGGUUCCCAAGUCGCAAGGCGUAGGCAAUCCCACAAACCAGGCCCCAGUUCGGAUUGCAGGCUGAAAUUCGCCUGCAUGAAGCCGGAAUCGCUAGUAAUCGCGUAUCAGCCAUGACGCGGUGAAUAUGUUCCUGAGCCUUGUACACACCGCCCGUCAAGCCACGAAAGCGGGGAGUGCUCGAAGUCGCUAUGUCCAACGUAAGAGGGCGGCGCCGAAAGCAAGCUCCGUGAUUGGGACUAAGUCGGAACAAGGUA
rnacentral:rRNA from 1 species